rnacentral:rRNA from 1 species
AAGGAGAAGUCGUAACUUGGUUUCCGUAGGUGAACCUGCGGAAGGAUCAUUG